AAUUCAUUGUCGCGCCGCAGCGUCGCCUUGUCCGUGCGCAUGUUUUCGGGGGGCUCAUCGCCAGGAGGACCCCAUCGACGUUAUAUGCCAGAACAAUGUCCUCACUCAAAAUAAAGUUCAAGCCGCUCAAAACGCCAGCUGGCUGGAGAAUUGAUUUCAUUGCUGUUAUCUUGUUUUCGGGGGGCUCAUCGCCAGGAGGACCCCAUCGACGUUAUAUGCCAGAACAAUGUCCUCACUCAAAAUAAAGUUCAAGCCGCUCAAAACGCCAGCUGGCUGGAGAAUUGAUUUCAUUGCUGUUAUCUGUAAGUGAAACAUUAAAAUAUAAAGAUAAGACAGAGAAAAAAGUCAUACAAUUUAGAGUUUAGA